CCGAGAGCGGGAUCCGCGCUCCCUCGGUCCUUCCUCCCUCCCCUCUUGCGGCCUCCCGCUGUCAUCUGGAGCCGCUCCUGCCGCCCCCUGGCGGCGACCGCGGGAAGGGCCGGCCCCCAUCCGCACCCCUGACCCCGGAGGUCAACAACGGGAUGGUCCCUGGGUCCCAGGGGAAGAGACAUCACCCAGUAGGAGGGAGUACGGUCUAGACAGAGGCCACGAGGGCGGGAGGGGGCGAGAGUGGAGAGUGGCCCAGCUGGCCAGGGUCGUCUAAGUGAGAGGAAAAGGGAGAGGGCGGUUGAGACCAGGCCCUGAAUUCCGCGUUCAUCUUAUCCUGAGGUCUGUGGGGACCUGUUGAAGGACUGGGGCAGGGGACGGACGCGGGCAUCCUUCCAUUUGGAACAGCCAUUCCGGCAGCAUCAGGAUGGGGCGGAGGCAAAGCGGGGAGUGGGCGAGGCAAGUGGUGCUGUAAACCUGUGCGAGAAGGGGGCGGUGACUCUAAGGGCAGGAAGGAGCCCUGGUCACACACACACUCCCACGCAAGGUAUUCAGUGCCGAGUGUGGCCUUGGUGCUAGGAUUCAAAGAGGAAAGGAAGAAAACUUUCCAUUCUAAAAGAAACUCCACGUGAGGCGAAGAAGAUGAAAUAUAGUCAGAAAACCAUACCAGUAGGUGGUAGGUAAAUGCAGAAGUAUUUAAGAGCUCAUACAGGAGUACCUGCCUCAGGACAGGGAAUCUGAGAUGCUCUGCAGAGCUGGAUCUUAAAGAACGGAUUAAGUUGAUAAAUGAUGCAUACGACAUCCUAUAGAAGACUGUCACCACCCCACCUCACUGAUCAGCCCUCUGCCUACAGCCACACCCACAGAACAUUCAGCCAUUUCUCCUGUGGUUCCCAGCCUGCAGCACAGCGUCUGCACGUGGUGAGGGCUCCCAAAUCUCUGAGGAAUGAAUGGCUCACUGCUGAGAGCAACCUUCUGGGAGUUCAGGGCAUGUGGAACUGGAAUAAGAGCAACGUGUGAACAGAUUACAGGAAGGCAAUGCAGGACAGCUGGACCCUUUGGGGGGAAACUUAUGGGGAACACAGUUUUCUUACUUAUAAGCACUGAGAUUGCCUGAGAGGGGAGAGAUGAUGCAGAGUGUCCCAAAUGUAUUUGACGUGGAAUCCUUUUACCAGCGAAACAUCUCUUGGGCCUAGAGUUCUGAAAAUUGCACUUUGAAAAACACUGCUCUCAGCUCUUACAAACCUCGUGUUUUCAUCCUAACUGUGCUUCAGAGAAUUGUGUCCCAGCAGGAAAGGAAACCCCCGUAUAAUUCCCUACGUUGCUAGCAUUUGGAAGUGGGAUGAAAAUGGACCUACAUUCAAACCCCUAAUUUCAAGCUCUGAAGGAGGUACCAGGAUCCAUCACGAUGCUUGUAAAAUUGUUCCUUUCAUUUUCCUGGUUGUAAACUUAUGCAGACUGUAAAGUCAAGGCAAGCCUGUGCCCAGCAAAUAAUAAGAAAAUAAGGGAGGCAUGGUAAACAAAACAAAACACUUUGAGAGUUGGUCAACUUGCUGUUAUUUUGAGCUGUUUCUAAAAAUCUCAGGGUAGAUUCCCUCCCCUGCUUGCCUCCUUAACCCAGUCCUUUUUCUUCCUCCUCCAGGAACUCUGGAAUGCUGACCUACAGUCUGAGUUCCUGUGCCCUUGCCUGGGGCUGACUCUCUACUUGACCUGUAACCCACAACUGGGCAAGAGAAAAUUCUGCAGCCACAGCUCUGAGGACAUGAGCAAAAUGGUUUCCAGACGGAAUGUCAAGGAUUCCCAUGAAGUGUCAGGGAGUCUUCAGGCCACACUUCAGGUUAUCUCCUUCUCUUUCCCUUUUCUGCUUCACACUUGCUCUCAUCCUCUUUCUCACCCCACAUCUGGUCAGAGGAGAUAGGAAGGUUCUUGUUACCUGGUACAAGACAACUUUUGGAAUCCCAGAUAUUCAGAUUAUUUCCCCUUUUCCUCUUUGCAAAUGAUAAUACUCACAGCCAAGAGGCAUCACCCGGAUCCGAGGCUGCUUCUCCUUAGGACAUGCAGACAGAAGGAGAAGGCGGGGCUGGCAGCCUCCAGUCCACAGCCUCCCUUUCUUCUUCCGGCGAUGAUUAACUAGGCCUAGACAAUGGAGAUCUACGGCAUACGCCCAGGGCCUCCUCUUCUCAAGCAUGGCUGAUCAGUCACUUUCCCGUCUAUCCUUCAUUUAUUGAAGCCAACUAUGAACGACUAAAGGAAGGAUGAGAAAAGUCACCCAAAGUCAAAGGGGACAGCGUGGGAGACUGUUCUAGACAGAAGGAAACACCUUUGCAAAGACCCUGAGGAAGGCAGGGGACUCUCCAGGAGCAGAAGGGCUGUGUGGCUUCAGAGUCCACAAAAGAGAGCAGAUACAGGACACUGGCUAGAGCAGGCCCUGGAGCCCGCUGCUGUCCUGGAGGCCUUGGGGAGGCCCAGUGUUCCCAGGGUGGAAGAAGUAGGGGACAGCUUGACGUAGUGGCUGUUGAUCAGCUGAUAUGGAAGUAUGUCAUUUUAUUAACAAUUGAGAAAGGAGUGCUGUGCAAUUCCAUUCAAUGCCAGUGAUGCUUAUGGCCGUUUUUAUGAGUUCUGUCAUUUUCAAAUGAGCAAGAGGAAGCCUCUAAGGGGGUUUAAGCAGGGACUGACGUAAUCAGAUCUGUGUUUUUCCAAAGGGAGAGGGAGAAAAAGAACAUUUCUUAUUUUUCAAAAAAGGUAAUGCAAAAGCAUCAUUCCACAAUUCUCUUGUAAUGAAAAAAAUAAAUGCAAACUUAAGCAAAUCCAUCAUUCUGAAAGAA
rnacentral:lncRNA from 1 species